GAUGAAUUGGAUAUGGUUGAAUCAGUGCAUUGUCUUUACAAAGAUGGCUGCUCAGUGGUGUGUCAGUGUAUCGGUUGUCAUGUGAUUAUGUAAAAUAAUUCCUUUCAAGUUUCUAUUCGAUAAGUAAUUUAAUUCAUGCAUGCACUUUGAUCUCUAGAAAACUAAAAUCAUUUUUGGUUCUUCAGAAUAAACAGUAGAAGACAAAAAAUAAUCACUAUGUAUGUCAAAUAAUAGAAUAUUGAAUAAGAAAAAAAUAUUUAAAAUUGUUUCAAAACCUACUUAUUAAAUUGAAACCUGAUUCAUAUUAAAUAAUCUCCUAAAAUUGAUUAUUUCAGAACAAAAAAAUACACAAAUUCUGAUAAUUUGGCACCAAGAGAACAUACAGUUUGUCAUUAUAAUAGUUUCCCUUCCAAACUUUACCAAGCAGCCCGUCUCUUAGAAUUUCUUAUUUUAACGACUAAUUUGCUGUUGCAAACAUAACGUAAUUUCCAAGAAAAUCAUGGGACUGGAAAUCUGAAACUGCAAAAUUCUUGAUUGAUCAAGAUAUGAAUAACAGUUGAAAAAAAUGUAAGUUGUAGCUUUCUUCACUUCCUCUAUCUGGGGGAAAUAUGUUGUCUCUGCAUUUAUAACAACACGCGAAAAAGUCAACUAGAAUAUGUAAUCUCCAGACAGACACAGACCGUAGCUAAUAUUCCAUCACAUAGAAAAAAGAAUUACAUAAUUUAGUUGGGUCAAAUGUAGUUUAUUUUCAUUCACAUAUUCUUGUGAACUUUGAAUGCCUCCAGUAUCCUGACUCCAAUUAUUCACGGGAUUAUGUCAUUUUAUAUACUCUAAAUAAUUAAGUGUUGCCGACAGUUGGAAUUACACAAACAGCCCCGCUUUGUCUUUACAGUCCUGUUCUUUGACUUUACCUCUCCAGCUCCUUCUUUUUCUUUAUCUCCCUCUCUCUCUCUCUCUCUCUCUCUCUCUCUCUCUCUCUCUCUCUGUCACUAGCAACUCUUGUCAGCCAUUAAAAUGCCUCUUAAGCCAAACCAGCAGAAUUCCCAUUCUGCUCGGCUGCCUGAGUUCACACCUUUUUGUCCACAGGAAUCUCAGGAAUCCCCAGCUUCCUUUUCUAGCGCAAUCUCCAUUGUGUGUGUGUGUUAGUGUGUGUGUGUGUGUGUGUGUGUGUGUGUGUGUGUGUGUGUGUGUGUGUGUGUGUGUGUGUGUGUGUGUGUGUGUGUGUGUGUGUGUGUGUGUGUGUGUGUGUGUGUGUGUGUGUGUGUGUGUGUGUGUGUGUGUGUGUGUGUGUGUGUGUGUAUGUUAGUGUGUGUGAAAACACAUCUCCGCCCUUGUAUCCACCCAGAGAAAGCGAGCAGGCGGUGCUCAGUUUGUGCCCACAACAGUCUUAGUCACAGUUCUAAAAGGGCAGAAACUCUCAGUUAAUGUGAAUCUUUACAUUUUGAGACAAACAACACGGGACAUUUAGGGUCCUGAUUUUAUUUUAAAAAUGCAGAAAGAUUUAUGAAAUUUCAAACUAAGGCUCACAUGAUACACAUCACAGUUUUCAAAUUCAAACAGUUCAAAUGCAAUCAACAUUUAUUUAGGCGUGAUUUAAUUUCCAAAACCAAGUCAUUAUGCAGCCAUUUAUUUAAAAGAAAAUAGUUUGGACUUUUGCAGUAUAGUUUACUAUUUGUUAGAAAUAUAAUACCAAAAGGUAUCUUUCUCUAAGUUUAUCAAAUAACAACUUUAAAAAGUAAAUAUUGUAUCAGUAUAAAUUUGAGUAACAAACAAUUUCAUGUUAAACAUUUUUGAUUGAUGAAUUUCUCCCGGCCAUACUGCAGCUCUAUUUUUUUUCACAUUAAAUGACCCCUAUUUUUAAGGAAAAUGUAUGAAUCCUUAUCCCAGUGAGUCAUUGUUCCUGGCUUGCAAAGCCUCUGAAUAAAGAGAAUAAUCUGUCAGAUUGCUGCUUUUGUCAAGGAGUCAUCAAAUGAACUAAAAUAGCUCCAGGCGAGAACUUUUUUUUUCUAGAUAUUUGAAUAGGGCAGUGCUCUUACAAGUCGCCUAGAUGACUCCUGCAGGUGAAAGCUGCCGUCGGCAGGUCUGGAGUCAUUUACCUUCUCAAACCCUGACUCAUCCUCCGCCUGAGCGCAGUCGCUGCCAGAGCUCCGCAACACUCAUUCAACACGAUGAGAAACACACAGACAAACCAUACACUGGCCCGACACACGACAGGCUGUGAUUCACCCUCACCCACUCUGUCCCCGUCUACACAGAACCAGCCAAAGAGGCGUUUUAGGUUGAUUUUUUAAGAUGUUGAAGAGGCCCGCCUGGAGUCGAUCUAAUCCAGUGGUUUCUAAUUUAACGUCGGGGGUUGUGGGAUGAGUCCCAAAGUGGGAAACAAUAACAAAAAACACAUUUCUAUUCCAUGAUUCUUACUCUAUCCCCUUCUCUUUUUUUAAACCAAAACAGGAUGUACGAGUAUUCAAAAGAAACAAUCUGAUGAAAUAAUAAAGAAAUAAAAAAAUGUUUUUUAAGACUUAUCCUUUCAUCACCUUCAGGAGACAGCUCUUGCUAACAGCUAAUAUGACACACAUUGGAGUGAGAUACGGCAGAUAGAAGCCGACAUACUGCUCUGCUAUCAUCAAAUAAUAGAAUUUUAAAAAGACCAUUUUGAAAAGAGAGUAAUCAUAUGAAGAUUAAUAUCAGAAAUACUUUAAUCCCAGGGGGAAAUUCAGUCAGAACAAAGUGACACUGGCAUGAAAAGUCACAUCAUUUAAAAAAAUGAAAAGAACAUAAAUAAGGGAAGUGUUGCUCAAAAGAAUCACAUUAGAAGAAAAAAGGGGAUUUUAGCAUGAUAAAUUACAGCAUAUAUAACAAGAAUAACAUUAGCGUUUAAAAGAAAUGUAAGUACUUGAAUAAGUGGAUUAAGUUUUAUAUUCAUAAAAAAGUAACAUCAUGAAAAACGGUUCACAAAAACAGGGUAACAAGAUGCUUAAUAAAGGAUGUCUGCAAAAAAAAGUUAUUUAUAUAUAAACAAACAUCAGCAAUUUGAAAAAUAAAGUUUUCAUUUGAAGAGAAGUUUGUUGGAAUAAUCUAUAAACUAAUAGAAUAAAUGUGACGGGGGUAGGGGUUUUAAUUUAUUGUCUUGUUUUAUCUUUUGGUUCAAAAUAAAGUCAUUCAUUCAAGAAAAACUCUUGAACAAAUAAAGAAAAUGCA